AAACCAUGAUGAGGACACUCCAAGAGAAGAUCCUUAAAAUGUUCCAUACACCUAGAAAAUGAUUCAUUAUGUUUUAGAUGAAACUGGAGAAUGUCGUUCCUAAGUUU
rnacentral:snoRNA from 1 species